rnacentral:rRNA from 1 species
UACAGAGGUCCCGAGCGUUGUUCGGAUUCAUUGGGCGUAAAGGGUGCGUAGGCGGCGGGGCAAGUCUGAUGUGAAAUCCCGGGGCUCAACCCCGGAACUGCAUUGGAUACUGCCUUGCUUGAGUACUGGAGAGGAGACUGGAAUUUACGGUGUAGCAGUGAAAUGCGUAGAGAUCGUAAGGAAGGCCAGUGGCGAAGGCGAGUCUCUGGACAGUAACUGACGCUGAGGCACGAAGGUCAGGGGAGCAAACGGG